rnacentral:piRNA from 1 species
UCGCUACGCUUUUUCCUUUUA